rnacentral:tRNA from 1 species
AGGAAAGUGACAGAGUGGUUGUGUGAUUGACUUGAAAUCAAAAUAUGGGGGUUCAAUUCCCUCCUUUCUUG